AAGUCGUAACAAGGUUUCCGUAGGUGAACCUGCGGAAGGAUCAUUAUCGUGGGGAUUCGUCCCUUCUAGAUAGACACCCUUUGUUUAUGAGUACCAUUGUUUCCUCGGCGGGCUUGCCCGCCGUUGGACAUUUAAAAACCUCUGUAGUAGUAGUAUCUUCAGUAAAAAAACAAAUAUUAAAACUUUCAACAACGGAUCUCUUGGUUCUG
rnacentral:misc_RNA from 1 species